rnacentral:lncRNA from 1 species
CAUCCGUAAGGUUUCCUUCCUAUAUGGGUUUUCUCUAUAGCUUAAGUAGUGCAUUCCUGCAACUGAAGCUUAUAUUGAAGGAUUCUUCUUGGCUUGAGCAUCAGGUCAAGGCUUGAGAAAACCUCCUUUGCUUGGUUUUAUUUAUGGCUCAAGCCCUCAGAUAGUGCUGCAGUUGUAAAAAAUACUUUAGAAAUUGUUUUAUUUCUUUAUUUUUUCUCGAAAAUGUAGCUUUAACUCUCCAAAAUGUUCUAGUCCUGCAAAACAAGUAAACGUGGGG